GAUGAACGCUGGCUACAGGCUUAACACAUGCAAGUCGAGGGGAAACGACGGGGAAGCUUGCUUCCCCGGGCGUCGACCGGCGCACGGGUGAGUAACGCGUAUCCAACCUGCCUCUGACUGAGGGAUAACCCGUCGAAAGUCGGCCUAAUACCUCAUGGUAUCGUCUGCGGGCAUCCAACGACGAUUAAAGAUUUCAUCGGUCAGGGAUGGGGGUGCGUCUGAUUAGCUUGUUGGCGGGGUAACGGCCCACCAAGGCUACGAUCAGUAGGGGUUCUGAGAGGAAGGUCCCCCACAUUGGAACUGAGACACGGUCCAAACUCCUACGGGAGGCAGCAGUGAGGAAUAUUGGUCAAUGGGCGAGAGCCUGAACCAGCCAAGUAGCGUGCAGGAAGACGGCCCUAUGGGUUGUAAACUGCUUUUAUGCGGGGAUAAAGUGAGGGACGUGUCCCUCAUUGCAGAUACCGCAUGAAUAAGGACCGGCUAAUUCCGUG
rnacentral:rRNA from 1 species